CACCUGGUAGCACAUGGUGUGCACCUGCAUUCCGUAAACGAGAAGUCGGUUGAAUGUGUAGUCAGGAGGCCCCUGUUCGAUUCGGGGUCGGGUGA